UACAGGGGGGGCAAGCGUUGUUCGGAAUUACUGGGCGUAAAGGGCUCGUAGGUGGCCAACUAAGUCGGACGUGAAAUCCCUCAGCUUAACUGGGGAACUGCAUCCGAUACUGGAUGGCUUGAGUUUGGGAGAGGGAUGCGGAAUUCCAGGUGUAGCGGUGAAAUGCGUAGAUAUCUGGAGGAACACCGGUGGCGAAGGCGGCAUCCUGGACCAACACUGACACUGAGGAGCGAAAGCCAGGGAGCAAACGGG
rnacentral:rRNA from 1 species